CAAAGUGUAGCUUAAGUUAAAGCAUCUGGCUUACACCCAGAAGAUCUCAUCACAAUUGACCACUUUGA
rnacentral:tRNA from 7 species